GUGGACAUAACCGCAGUAUAUAAAUGAUGCUGAAAAGAAAUCUGGUGUUUUCAGGUUCCUGUACUGACCUGUCAAGGUAGUCGCAUCCCGGCGUAGAGGACUAGGAAUCGGGAGUCACUGGCCGUAUGCUGGAGGCUGGAGACGCGGGAGCGUGGCUUGCCUCGCUGCGGUUGUUGGCAGCGAUGGAGAUGGCGCGGCUGGAGAGGUAGAAGAAGGAAAACAGUUUUGGGAUAGUUGGAGCAGGUCCCGGCAACUCUUGUAAUACUGGGCUGCGGAGAUCAGGCCCUGUCUGAAGUCCCCUGAGUGGCUCUUGAACUCGCUGAAGCGGGCCUCGUCGCUCUGCAGGAAGUCCCUGAUGGACUGGAUGAGCUGAAGUUUCCUCUCCCGGAAGUUCUCGGCGACUAGAAAGAAUGGAGGCUCAGAGCACGGCCAACAUAAAUUAUGGCAGUAAGAGAUUAUGGAGGGAGAGAAGAGGCCUGUCUCACAAAGGGGAGUCCUGUUAUGUAGAUGAUGAAACCUCACAGGUUGCAACUCUCGGAGAGAAUACAUGGUAAGAGUUUCCUUCAGACCUUUAAAGAUGUUGGAUUCUCAGUUAAUCUUUUUUAGAUCUGGAUAAGAGAGGGCCUCAGAGGAGGCCUGGCUGCACCGUGCAGAUUCUGCACAGAUGCAAAGUUUCCCAGGAAAGACAGUUUUUCAGGGCUACUUCUGUUUGCAAGCCCUCUGAACAGCCAUCUCAAAAUACAUCAAAGAAGGAUACUUUGGAGUGAAAUAUUUUGGUUUCCUUCACGAUCCUCACUGGAACUCAUGAUAGCCCACAUCCUGGCCCUGAAGUUUUAGGGUGUUAGGUAAUGUAUAUAAACAAAAUAAGCCAAAGGACACCUAAAAACCAAGCAGGCAAUUUCUCAGCAACUUUAUUACUUUUAUAACGGGUUAAUAAUUCUAUGGAGAGCCCUGGAAUUUACUACAAGUUUCUGCCUUUGUUUCUUAUAGAAGCAAAGGGAGUUACCAGUAAGGGAGUAAUAAAUUCCAAGAAUCACUUAAAGAUUGCUUUUAUCCAUGAGAAACAUACCUCAAUAACAUGUGGGGGCCAAGGCAGGGCUUUCCCUUUGACCCUCUCUGAAGUUUCACUGAAAAAUCAACUUGCAAAAGGCAGAUUAAUAGGAGAAAAGCCAUACAAAUUCAUUUAACAUGUAUACAUUGGGGGCCUUCUGAAUGAAGACCCAACUUCCCAGUGAGGUACAGAAGCUUAUAUACCAUUCUGAGGUUAGGAGACAGGAAUAACAAAGGUGGUUGCAGGAGAAUAGAAAAUUCCAGGCAGUGGUUUCACAUGGCUAGCAAAAGGAAACUGUAGAAAUAGCUGCAGAAACUAUGGGCUGAUAAGACCCUAAAAGCCAGGGUGUGGACUAAGCUGGGUGAGACUAACCAGACUCAGUGUGGCACUGGAUUUGACCUAGGUUUCACCUAGAACCUCAUUAUAUGCUCAUUAGCAUACAAAUCACACACCCACCAGCACCAUGACAGUUCCAGGAACAUCCAUAUUUGGUGUGAAAAUGAGUAGCACUACAGUUCCAGAACAUCUCCACCUUUUUCCAGGAAUCUUCAUGAAUAUUCCAUCCCUUAGUUAAAGAAACCCACAAAGGCAGCCGCUCCAAACCCCUUUGCAUGUGACUGUCUCUUGAGUACACCUGCACUCCCCUUUCUUGAGUGUGUACUUUUCACUUUGCAAUACAUUUCCGUACUUGGACUAUUUUCUGACUCAGCCUUGAAUUUAUUCUCACUGGGGUGGAGGUCCCACUAGCAACUGGGGACUUCCCGCAGCCCACUGAUGUCAGUUACAGAAAGAAUGGGAGCUUGGAUCCUGGUAAAACAGGUUAUGGGAGUGGAGAGAAGAAUUCCAUUGAGGGGCAAUAAAUGAUUACUAGAAUGAAUGACUGUAUGGGAAACAGAAAUUAACUUGUAAAUAGUUCUCUUUGGAAUUUAAAUGAUCCCUGGAGCAAGUUAUUAUCUUCUUUUCUGUAAUGGAUAAGGAGAUAACAGGGAAGACAGCAAGAAUAAUUGUUCUCCUUGGUGAGUCUGUCCUACCUGUAUGUAUAGAUAGGAGAAAACCAGUGCUUAUUGAUCUCUAAGGGUUUUUAAUUUAAAAUACUCAUUAUACCAGGGACCUGUAUUUUGGAGUGAAAUACUUUGAAACAACCAAAGGCAGAGAGAUAGUCCCAAAUUAUCGAUGAGAAGAUUAAGUAAAGUGGGCAGAAGAGAAAAAGAUUAUAUGUCUGUAAUACUGCUACCCUUCCAUUACUUCUCACAUCGGGCAGAAUUAAGAUAUUUCCCAAGACUGAGACACUCAUGGAAGGCAGCCAGCCCUCACCACAAAUCUUCAUAAGCUCACUGCAGCUUUCCUGCUGCUACACACAGGCACAUUCUCUCCCCCUCUUCUUUUUUUUCCUUCCUUCCUUCCUUCCUUCCUCCCUCCCUACCUCUCUUCCUCCCUUCCUUCCUUCCUUUCUUCUUUCCUUCCUUUGCUGAGUCAAACUCAAUUGUGUGUUACUUCUACAAACAUUUUGUUAUAAAUAUUUUCAAACAUACACAAAAAUAAAGGAAGUAUAAAAUGAAUCUUCACGUAUUUAUUACCCAGUUUCAAGUAUAAACAUUUUGCCAAUCUUGUUUUAUCUACUCUCCACCCCUUCCUCUCCUCACCAAUGUUUCUCUGGAUCAUUUUAAGGCAAAUUCCAGGUUUUCAGUCUUAAGUGUAUCACGUCUGUCUAAAAAUAAGCACUUAAAAAAAACCUAAUCACAGCACAUUAUCAUACUUUCCCAAAUUAAUAUUUCUUGAUUUCAUCUAAUACCCAGUUUGUUUUAAAAUUUUCUCAAAAAUAACUUUAUGCAGUUGGUGUGUUCAAAUAGGCUCUAUGCAAAGUCUACAUCGUGCAUUUGAUAAAUCUCUUAAGCUCUUUCAAUAUGUGAUACUUCCCCUUCUUCUUUCUGGCUUUCAGGCCAUAUGUUUGGUCUGCUCAAUUUUCCACAGUCUGGAUCUUGAUGAAUUGCAUUCUUAUGGUGUAACUAACACAUUCUUUUGCUUCUUGUAUUUCCUGUAAGCUGAUGUUUACAUUUAGAGGCUUGUUUAGACGCAGGUUUGAAUUUUUUUAGCAUGAAAGUUCCAGUUGCACUGCAGAAUGUCUGCUGAUCCCAGGUUUAGCACUUUUGAGGUUGAUCAGUUAAAAAGUAGCUGUUUGGGAGGCAAAGGGCACAUGUUAGUCGCCUUUGCAUGCCCAUUGUCAAGCACAGCAUUGUGCCUAGAGCAAUCCCUGGCAAUGUUUACUGAGUUGAAGCAGUUGAUGAAACCCAGAUUUGUGAGACUUCAGAUACAAAUCUUCUAUUCUCAGCUGAGAUGCCUAAACUUUAUUAAUUCACAUCUGUAUGUUGUAAAAGUUCUAUUUUAUUUUACGACCUUAGCCAGUUUUGACCAUUUCACCUUGGCUGCGGUUGUUUCUGUUUCAUCUUUUUCUCAUAAAUAGUGUCAACCUUAAAUAAUGAGAUUCAGAAAAUAUGACUAAGGAUAGAGUUUAUUCAAGUGCAAAGCUUGAGGAUAGCCACUCAUGAAGCGUCAGCUCCAAAUGAAUAUGGUCAGCAUUCCCAGGUGGAGAAGUUAAGGUUUCACUUUUACAGACAGAGACAAAGACAUUUUCAGAGGAUUACAACAUUUUCCAAAGGAGACCAGUGCAUACAUUAAAGCAAUUUGAUUGGUCACAGAUUGCUACGUGCCAAGGAAGAUUACUUUAUUACUCAAUGAGGAGGGAUGGUGAUCUGAGGAGGUCUUCUCUCUCGUGCUGUUUGGUCUUCUUAAUUAUUCACAGGGGGAAAAAAAGGCGGAAGUUGCCGCUGCACGUGACUCAGGCUGCAUAGCCACAUUUGUCUCAAGGCUCAGAAUAACUUAAAGUUCCAACAACUUGAAGUUUGAAUUAUUUAAUUUCACAAUAGAAAUUAAAACAAAGAUUUUAACGUUUCUUAAUAAGAAGCCAUCUUCAUACGAAUUGUGAAAUUUUUAAAUUAAAUAUAUUUUUAAAGUUAGUAAUUUACUCAAACGUUGUUUAGACAUUGUUUUAGAAACUGGUAUCUUGAGUGUCUAUGCUUGUCAUCUUUCAUGAUGAAUGGUCCCUGUUUAUUUGCAAAACUUGCCAAUCUGCCAAAGCUUUAUUUGCUGGGAAGUUAGCAUGUCUGGGAAAGUAACACUUUCUUUUUGCUUUAGUAACAUAUAAAUAUUUUUUAAAAAGGAUAUACAUAUUUUUAGGAAAAUAUUCUUAGCAAACCCAAGAUUGAGAUCUAUGAGUUCAUUUUUCCCCUAUUUUUCUACACCUUUAAAAAAAUUCCCCUUUGGAGAUUGAAACAGGAGAAAGGGUAGGGCCCAAUAUCACACAGGGACAAGAAUUGAGCCUGGGAGAGUCUUGUAUUCAGGACCCAAACUGGGUGCAGGGCUGGCUCAUUAGGAGUUGAAAUGCCUCUGCACGAGUCACGGGUGGAAAUAGGUGCAUUCACAUGAACAUGGUUGCAUCAGCUUCAUCCACAGGAGCCCUGAACCCGUCAUUAACCUGUGAUCUGAUUGGAAUCUAUGUACCCUAUGGGUCAAUGUGAAAUUACUUCUCAGGGAGGCAACCACAGCUGAGGGAGUCCACAAGGUAAAAUUUCCACAGAAGAUAAACUCACAUGUAAGAACUGCAAACAACAUACAAGAAUGUCUAGUAUCGUGACAAUAGUAAACCCAGGUCUGCUGCAUACAGACCGUACGAUUGUAGGUGUGUAAUUCACAUUGAUCACAAUUGCACACUCAUACACACACCCCAUGCAAAACCUUACGGUAGGAAUUCUAAAGUGACCUGAUAAAAAUAUUGAAUCCUCAAUUUGAUAAAGUAGAGAAUGACAUUUGUGGAACAAGAACAUUCAAAAUUUUUAAAUGCCAUUAUGGCAAGGGAACAGAUGAGUAUUUUUAAAAAAUCAGAUCUCUGGCCUGGAGUGGUGGCUCACGGGGCCAAGGUGGGUGGAUAACGUGAGGUCAGGAGUUCAAGACAGACCAGGCUGGCCAACAUGGUGAAACCCCAUCUCUACUAAAAAUACAAACAUUAGCUGGGCAUGAUGGCACAUGCCUGUAAUCCCAGCUACUUGGGAGAUUGAGGCUGGAGAAUCACUUGAACCCGGGAGGCAGAGGUUGGAGUGAGCCAAGAUCACGCCAUUGCACUCCAGCCUGGGCAACAAGAGCGAACUUACAUCUCAGAGAAAAAAAAAAAAAAAUCAGAUCUCUUGAUAAUUUAAAAUCUCUGAAUAUAGACUAAAUAGAGGACAUAUCAAGGAGCAAAAUAAUUAGC